AGACCACAGAGGGAGCCCAGGACAGGCUCCAAGCAAAAUGGCUUCAGACCAUUGUCAUGGGGUCUGAUGACAUGAAUGUGACUGUGAUCCCAGACCCUGAAGGCUAAGGCUGGUGGUCUGACCUGAGAGCUCUUUGGAGGAAACUGGGGGCUCCCCUCUUCCUUUUCAGUCACAUGUUCUGUCCUCACAAGUAGUUUAUCAGUUAGGAGCCCUAGAGGUGGAGGAGAUUUGCAUAACUACUAACAAUCACAGUCCCAGGGGCCUGCAAGGGAAUAAGAGAGGCUGGGCUGGAGCCCAGCAGUGCUGUGGGUGUCAAGACACAGAGCUCUGGGAGUCUCCACCAUGGCCUGGACCCCUCUCCUGCUCCCCCUCCUCACUCUGUGCACAGGAUCCAUUGCCUCCAGUGUGGUGACUCAGCUGCCCAUGGUAUCUCCGGCACUGGGACAGAUGGCUACAAUCAGCUGCUCUGGAGAUAUGAUGGAGAAAAAAUAUACAAAUUGGCACCAGCAGAAACCAGGCCCAGCCCCCGAGCAGGUCAUUUAUGAGGAUACUAAACGUCUCUCAGGGAUCCCUGACUGAUUCUCUGGCUCCAGUUCAGGCAAAACAGUCACCCUGACCAUCAAUGGGGCCUGGCCCAAGACGAGGCUGACUAUUACUGUCAGUCCUAUGACAUCA